rnacentral:rRNA from 1 species
AGUAAAUUGGUUAAGUUAGAAAGGGCGCACGGUGGAUGCCUUGGCACUAGGAGCCGAAGAAGGACGGGACUAACACCGAUAUGCUUUGGGGAGCUGUACGUAAGCGUUGAUCCAGAGAUUUCCGAAUGGGGGAACCCACUAUCUUUAGUCGGAUAGUAUCCUUACGUGAAUACAUAGCGUAAGGAAGGCAGACCCAGGGAACUGAAACAUCUAAGUACCUGGAGGAAGAGAAAGAAAAAUCGAUUUCCUGAGUAGCGGCGAGCGAAACGGAAAGAGCCCAAACCAAGAAGCUUGCUUCUUGGGGUUGUAGGACACUCUAUACGGAGUUACAAAAGAAAGUUAUAAAUGAAGCGGUCUGGAAAGGCCCGCCAAAGACGGUAACAGCCCGGUAGUUGAAAU